rnacentral:lncRNA from 1 species
GACUGCACUAGAUAGGAAUAGCCUCAAUAAAUAUGAGGCUCUGAUUUGUUCUCAGCUGCACUGUUAUAAAUCCAAACUAUUUCCCUGCUAGCAGAGGAAAUAUUCCACUUUACUGUACUAGUAAGAUCCAUAUAAGUAGCAUUGAUAUAAUUAUAUAAAGUAGCUAGAAUUAAAAAUGAGCCUCCUACAGUUUACGUUGUAAUUAUGUACUUGAUUUCUGAAGUGGAAUCUAGUUCCAUACGGUGUAAUUAAGAAGAGUAAGAUCUGGGUUAUCUUACAUAGUGUUUCCUUGCAGAUUUUUUAGAUACUUGGUAGAAACAGCCUUUCUUUUAUGUGAUUUACAGGAAGAACUUGGAGACGGAGUCACUAUCCUUCUUACAGAGAGGGAAAAAAAAUGGUGUUACCCUGUUUAGCAAGAAAAUGCAUUACUGAACUGCUUCAAGACUCACUGCCUCUGCAGUUACUUGUUAUCUUCACUGGAGCUGGGAAACCUGGUUAGCUCAGCCACCAAAUAUGUUUCCUAUAAAAUGUCCCCAGUGUUUACUAUGAAGAGACUGCAUCUGAAAAGACAGCUAAGAAUUGUGUAUCGGCACAUUGACCCUCUCUCUUCAUAAGAGGAGCGGGGGUGUGCCUGCAAGGAGAGACAAGUUCGUUGCUUGGUAGGACUUAUCCUGAGAGGUCCUUGCUGUAGUGUUUGCCGUCUGUGCUGCUUGGUUUUGGCAUUAUCUUCACCUGCUCCUGCUUCCCUUGCACUACUGUGUGGAAAAACCCAUCUGGAGUAUUGCUUGAUGAGAGCGGCUGCUCCAUACCUCUUAAGAAAUGAUGGAUGUGGCAACAGGACUUGCCCAGAAAGCCCUCCUGCAAUCUGCUGGAAACGUGUCUUUCCUCACAGAAUCCUAAAAUAAUUUAGGUUGGAAGGAGACUUUGGAGGGCAGCUGGUCCAUCUCCUCAGUCAAAGCAGGGACAGCUUUGAACUUGGAUUACCCAGGAAGGGAAAUCAAGUGUUCUGGGGAGGAAAAACCUUACAUACGAGAGCUGGACCUGCAACAGGUUUUUCUGUAUCUUACCUAAUUCUCAGAGCCCAGAGCGACUGGGCUGCUGGGGCAUAUCUGUUCCAAUGAAACCCACUGCUAAGUUAAUUACAAAGGUCUCCUGUUGUAACUUGCUUUGCUAAUCCUCAAACAAUUUCAAAUUGAUUAUCUUGGCCUACUCUGGGUAAGACAGAAAAGUAAGUCCAAAUGUAAUAGAGGCUUCAUUACAAAGUGGACUAGUGAUGACAGCCAUGCAGAUAUGGGACACAUUAUGUAUUUUACCUUUAUGAAAUGAUAAUAUUUUACAUUGUGUGUUAAACCUUUGUAAAAAAAACACCCAUGUAAUAUAUCCAAAUAACAGAGCAGAUUAUAAGGCCACUAAAAAGGAUUAACGUUCAGAUGUUCCUGGGGAAGAAAAAUUGUUUAUAUCCUCCUUUAAUUGAAACCGUCCAUGUGAAAUAUGCUACAGCCUAAAUAGAUUAGAUUAUAAACUAUUGUCACGGGAGGAUGUAAGCAUAUAAUUGCCUCCUUUAAUU